rnacentral:rRNA from 1 species
CCUACGGGUGGCAGCAGUGAGGAAUAUUGGUCAAUGGGCGCGAGCCUGAACCAGCCAAGUCGCGUGAGGGAAGACGGUCCUAUGGAUUGUAAACCUCUUUUGUAGGGGAGCAAAAGACGGCACGCGUGGCGUUCCGAGAGUACCCGAAGAAAAAGGAUCGGCUAACUCCGUGCCAGCAGCCGCGGUAAGACGGAGGAUGCGAGCGUUAUCCGGAUUUAUUGGGUUUAAAGGGAGCGUAGGCCGGCUUUUAAGUCAGCUGUGAAAGUCCGCGGCUCAACCGUGGAAUUGCAGUUGAAACUGGCGGCCUUUAGUGCACCCAGGGUUGCCGGAAUUCAUGGUGUAGCGGUGACAUGCUUAGAUAUCAUGAAGAACUCCGAUCGCGAAGGCACGUGUCCGGGGUGCAACUGACGCUGAGGCUCGAAAGUGCGGGUAUCAAACAGGAUUAGAUACCCUUGUAGUC